rnacentral:rRNA from 1 species
AACGCGUGGGAAUCUGCCCUUGGGUUCGGAAUAACAGUUAGAAAUGACUGCUAAUACCGGAUGAUGUCGUAAGACCAAAGAUUUAUCGCCCAAGGAUGAGCCCGCGUAGGAUUAGCUAGUUGGUGAGGUAAAAGCUCACCAAGGCGACGAUCCUUAGCUGGUCUGAGAGGAUGAUCAGCCACACUGGGACUGAGACACGGCCCAGACUCCUACGGGAGGCAGCAGUGGGGAAUAUUGGACAAUGGGCGAAAGCCUGAUCCAGCAAUGCCGCGUGAGUGAUGAAGGCCUUAGGGUUGUAAAGCUCUUUUACCCGGGAUGAUAAUGACAGUACCGGGAGAAUAAGCUCCGGCUAACUUCGUGCCAGCAGCCGCGGUAAUACGAGGGGAGCUAGCGUUAUUCGGAAUUACUGGGCGUAAAGCGCACGUAGGCGGCUUUGUAAGUUAGAGGUGAAAGCCCGGGGCUCAACUCCGGAAUUGCCUUUAAGACUGCAUCGCUUGAAUCCAGGAGAGGUGAGUGGAAUUCCGAGUGUAGAGGUGAAAUUCGUAGAUAUUCGGAAG